UACGGAGGGUGCGAACGUUAAUCGGAAUUACUGGGCGUAAAGCGCGCGUAGGCGGUUCGGUAAGUGGGAUGUGAAAGCCCUGGGCUUAACCUAGGAACUGCAUUCCAAACUGCCGGGCUAGAGUAUGGUAGAGGGAGGUAGAAUUUCCUGUGUAGCGGUGAAAUGCGUAGAUAUAGGAAGGAAUACCAGUGGCGAAGGCGGCCUCCUGGACCAAUACUGACGCUGAGGUGCGAAAGCGUGGGGAGCAAACAGG
rnacentral:rRNA from 1 species